AACGAACGCUGGCGGCAGGCCUAACACAUGCAAGUCGAACGAGAAGCCACCUUCGGGUGGUGGACAGUGGCAGACGGGUGAGUAACGCGUGGGAACGUGCCUUUCGGUUCGGGACAACCCAGGGAAACUUGGGCUAAUACCGGGAUACGCCCUUCGGGGAAGGAUUCAUUGCCGAAAGAUCGGCCCGCGUCGGAUUAGCUAGUUGGUGGGGUAAAAGCCUACCAAGGCGACGAUCCGUAGCUGGUCUGAGAGGANGACCAGCCACACUGGGACUGAGACACGGCCCAGACUCCUACGGGAGGCAGCAGU
rnacentral:rRNA from 1 species